CCCAGCGAUGAAUCGCUGGGCUAUUGUCCAACGACCCGCCGGGUCG
rnacentral:ncRNA from 2 species